rnacentral:rRNA from 1 species
GACGAACGCUGGCGGCGUGCUUAACACAUGCAAGUCGAACGGAAAGGCCCUGCUUUUGUGGGGUGCUCGAGUGGCGAACGGGUGAGUAACACGUGAGUAACCUGCCCUUGACUUUGGGAUAACUUCAGGAAACUGGGGCUAAUACCGGAUAGGAGCUCCUGCUGCAUGGUGGGGGUUGGAAAGUUUCGGCGGUUGGGGAUGGACUCGCGGCUUAUCAGCUUGUUGGUGGGGUAGUGGCUUACCAAGGCUUUGACGGGUAGCCGGCCUGAGAGGGUGACCGGCCGCAUUGGGACUGAGAUACGGCCCAGACUCCGACGGGAGGCAGCAGUGGGGAAGAUUGCACAAUGGGCGGAAGCCGGAUGCAGCAACGCCGCGGGCGGGAUGACGGCCUUCGGGUUGUAAACCGCUUUCGCCUGUGACGAAGCGUGAGUGACGGUAAUGGGUAGAGAAGCACCGGCUAACUACGUG